CCCCUGCCUGCCUCUCCCCAACUUCUGAGUUGGUGUCUGCUCUGUUUUGGAAAUAGACCAAAAGUUGUGAAGUAUGGGAUGCUCAAGUGACCAGACUGGACAGAUAGAAAGUGCUGGAGAUUGAACCCAGGGCCUUGUGCAUGCAUACUAGGCAAGCAUUCUACCACUGAUCUACCCACUCCCGAGCCUGGCAUAGGGUAAGGUCGAACAGUCAGUCUGUUGGAAGUCUAGAGAAGGCAGAGCAUGGCAUAGCAAGCCUUUCUUCAAAGGGCAACUUGUUCUUGACAAGACUGUAGGACGGGCUCCAUCUUGAAGAACAGGACUGGGACGGUGUUCGAUGGUCAAGCUAAAUGGCCAGGAGGCUUGCAGUUUGUAUCUCUUGCUUGCUGGGGCCUAUUUUCACUCUUUGCCCCUUCAAGUCUGCCCACCGGGUCACUUGGUCACCAAAGGGACACUGCCAGUUAGUGAUAACAUCUUUGCAGCCUCCAUGUGAGGCUGUCUGCACCAUCGCCCCGUGGCAGCUCUCUCCCGGAGUGCGGGAGAGGGUGGCGUGGCCACUGCCGUGUCGGGGACAGCUAUAGUCCCGGCUGCUUGCAAUCGGAGCUGCCAGGGAGAGGGGCGGGAGAGGGGGCC